GGUGCAGAUUAUGAUGAAUGUGAUCGUUAUGUAUACCCAAAAUAUACCAAUAAAUUGAUUGGAGAAAAAAUUGAAUAAUUGGUCAGUACACACCUUUAAAUCCAAGAACUGAAGGAGGCUGAGGCAAAAGGAUGGCAAGUUUGAAUCUCACCUGGGCAAUUUGGCAAGACAUUGCCUCAAAAAAUAAACAAGGGCUGGGAUGUAGCUCAGUGGCGCAGUGCACCUGGAUUCAAUACCCACUGCCAACAAAAUUUUUUGAACAGUUAUUUCUGUACUGAGAGAUACCAGAGAGUAUGCUAUGAUUCUCCAGAAACAGAAGCCUUGUGGACGAGACAAAGCCGCCACAGGAAAUGGUUCUAUUUAAACGCGAUAAUGGCGUGAGUGUCUGAGCCGUGAUAAAGCACAGGCUUGCAGUGUACCCGAAAGGCCCAUCCUCCGGGUGAGGAAAAGCAGGUGGUGCAGGGUUUCAGCAGGAAACCCGAAGGCGGGACAUGACGACGUGCACAGCGGUAAGGGAGAACGUGAACCAGAAGGACAGAGACAAGUGGACCCAAACCUUUGUAUGUCGAAUCCGCAUGCGUGGUCCCAGGAUGUCUAUGUGAUUCUAAAUACCACUCUCAGCUCACAAGAACAAAAUCAGCUGUGGCAGGCAGCUCAAGACGAAGCUGGUCACAGACAUAAGUUCUGAGACAGGUAAACCUACACAAGGUGGAGCUGCCUGGCCUCCCCAUGGACCAUGCUCAAAUGCAGCAGAAGACAUUGGACAACAAAAUGCCCCAUCCUGGCAUUCUUUGAGACCUUACACCAGGGCUGCUGGACUGUCCUAGCCACCAAAGAGUGGCCCUCACAGGAAAUGUUGACACUGCCAGAUUCAUUGCUGAAAAAAUUGCUGCCAAAGACUGAGGGGGCUCAGGGCCAACAGCCCCCUUUGUGGGUGUCAAUCUCGGAGUCCAAGUUCCACUAAAACUCUCAGGUAAGACAUUCUCUAUAUUUGUGAACAUAUAGGCCAUAUAUACAGAGUUCUUCCUGAGUUUUCAGGCUGCUACAUUAAGUCCUCAGUCUCUAUGAUGGGGUAUUGAUGGUCAACCUAUACCAUUUAUAAACAGGGCCUAUUUUGUGCAGGUCCCAGUCCUAAAUCUUAAAAUGCUUUCACUCCCUUGUGUUUAUGCAGGCUCACUUAGACACACUGAGGCCUCAGCAGCUUCCACCUGUUGUCGCUGGUGGAUCUCUCCUCAGUGAUAUAAGACCACCCCCUUCCUUUCUUAUUCACCAAUUUGUCAGACAACCCUGGUCAAGACUGACAGAUACAUUUUGUCUUCUCACUUUGUUUAUACUUUUUCAGGAUACAUAAAAGCCUUUCCCACAACCAGGUAAACUGCUGAUACAACCAGGUUACAGUGACCCAUGCCUAAAUCAAAGUUGCUAGUCUGCCAUCCUGGUUUCACAUCACUCAGGCUAAGAGGUGCCCUUCCAGCCCUAAAUCUGAUCAGUCUGAAUGGUCAUCUUAUCGUCUGUUGCCCACCCGUCUCUGUCUCACAAAGACCUCGCAGCCACAGUUAACAGGCUAAGUCAUGUUUUGUUAUCCACUUUGGUUCCUAAUUUCUUACAUUCUAUUAAUGAUCAUUUUUACAGCAGGACUCUUUAACAGUAUUGCCUACAGACUCCAACAUCAUGCAUACCAGAGACAAGCCUUACCAACCUACCUUUUAACUUUUAUGCUUUCAGAUGGGGGAGUAAGCACCUCUCAUAACUCCACUCCUCCUAACCCCACGUUUAAUUUUCAGAAUUCUGCCUUACCAUGAAAAUGUUUCUACCUCAACAUGGUCCUGAUAGAAUGACAUGUCUAAGUCAAAGGCACUUUCCCUCGAUCUCACCUGGCUCCUUAAAUAUGACAGUGCUAUGUCUCCUUAUAACAUCUUGUCUCUUUGUUUUUCCAGUCUAACAUACGUGCAUUCACCAGUGAAGUUGUCCUGGCAAAACACGUGGCACCAGCGUCUACAUGGGCAUCAACCUUCAUCCUGUCGACUCCCCUAGGCUCCAGUACAGUGCCCUCUGCCAGCAGGAAGUAGUUAGAGAAAUCUUUGCCCUUUUUCAUAAUAAUAAUCAUAAGAUGGGAUAUGAAAGGAUUUUGGCCCAGACAGGACACUGUAGCCAAGAAAGCAGGAAACCAGAAGCAGGAAGCUCCUAUCUCCCCCACCCCUAGGAAGUUAUCUGUGACGCCAUCUUCCUGCCCCUGGGAAUUUACAUGUGGCGCAAAACCUAGGACCAAUGGAUUACCUGUGGAUCCCUAAUGCCCACCUUAGGUUCCACCCCAAACUGAGGCUACUUACAUACCCCCAUGCCACGUGUCCGCCAGAGAGAUUGCUGGUCGCCAGCGGUGGGGGGUGCCGGUCAUCUCUCUCCGUGUUCUCAGAAUAAAGGCCGCUUUUUAUUUUAUACUUCUCA